rnacentral:tRNA from 1 species
GCGGACGUAGCUCAGUUGGUUAGAGCGCUGGUUUGUGGUACCAGAUGUCGCGGGUUCGAAUCCCGUCGUUCGCCC